rnacentral:rRNA from 1 species
UGAGUAACCUGCCCUUAACUCUGGGAUGAGCCUGGGAAACUGGGUCUAAUACCGGAUAUGACUCCUCAUCGCAUGGUGGGGGGUGGAAAGCUUUAUUGUGGUUUUGGAUGGACUCGCGGCCUAUCAGCUUGUUGGUGAGGUAAUGGCUCACCAAGGCGACGACGGGUAGCCGGCCUGAGAGGGUGACCGGCCACACUGGGACUGAGACACGGCCCAGACCUCCGUACGGGAGGCAG